rnacentral:rRNA from 1 species
GACGAACGCUGGCGGCGUGCUUAACACAUGCGAGUCGAACGGAAAGGCCCUGCUUUUGUGGGGUGCUCGAGUGGCGAACGGGUGAGUAACACGUGAGUAACCUGCCCUUGACUUUGGGAUAACUUCAGGAAACUGGGGCUAAUACCGGAUAGGAGCUCCUGCUGCAUGGUGGGGGUUGGAAAGUUUCGGCGGUUGGGGAUGGACUCGCGGCUUAUCAGCUUGUUGGUGGGGUAGUGGCUCACCAAGGCUUUGACGGGUAGCCGGCCUGAGAGGGUGACCGGCCACAUUGGGACUGAGAUACGGCCCAGACUCCUACGGGAGGCAGCAGUGGGGAAUAUUGCACAAUGGGCGGAAGCCUGAUGCAGCAACGCCGCGUGCGGGAUGACGGCCUUCGGGUUGUAAACCGCUUUCGCCUGUGACGAAGCGUGAGUGACGGUAAUGGGUAAAGAAGCACCGGCUAACUACGUG